AACGAACGCUGGCGGCAUGCCUAACACAUGCAAGUCGAACGAGACCUUCGGGUCUAGUGGCGCACGGGUGCGUAACGCGUGGGAACCUUCCCUUAGGUUCGGAAUAACUCCCCGACAGGGGUGCUAAUACCGGAUAAUGUCUUCGGACCAAAGAUUUAUCGCCUUUGGAUGGGCCGGCGUUGGAUUAGCUAGUUGGUAGGGUAAAAGCCUACCAAGGCGACGAUCCAUAGCUGGUCUGAGAGGAUGAUCAGCCACACUGGGACUGAGACACGGCCCAGACUCCUACGGGAGGCAGCAGUGGGGAAUAUUGGACAAUGGGCGAAAGCCUGAUCCAGCAAUGCCGCGUGAGUGGUGAAGGCGUUAGGGUUGUAAAGCUCUUUUACACGGGAUGAUAAUGACAGUACCGGGAGAAUAAGCACCGGCUAACUCCGUG
rnacentral:rRNA from 1 species